AUUGGAGUUAAAAAUACUGUAAUUAUUGGCCUACGACAUGUUGAUUUAGUUUAUUUUUUAAGCCAAGUUAAAUAAACAAGUCGUAUGCCAAAAAUUAUGCAAGCCACAAGAUCGAUUC
rnacentral:precursor_RNA from 15 species